CAUUUCCAUUCAAUAAAUGUGCAGAUUAUAUGUGAUGCACAAAUGCGCCUAACAAAUAUUGUGGCAAGGUGGCCUGGGUCAACCCAUGAUUCAUAUAUCCUUACAAACAGCAUGGUUGGGAUGAGACUCCAAGCUGGCAGGGUGCGCGAUGGGUGGCUACUUGGAGACAGUGGUUAUCCACUAAAGACGUGGCUGUUAACCCCCCUCACCAACCCACAAACUGACCGAGAGCGCAGA